UACGUAGGGUCCGAGCGUUGUCCGGAAUUAUUGGGCGUAAAGGGCUCGUAGGCGGUCUGUUACGUCUGCUGUGAAAACCCAGGGCUUAACCCUGGGCUUGCAGUGGAUACGGGCAGACUAGAGGCAGGUAGGGGAGAAUGGAAUUCCCGGUGUAGCGGUGAAAUGCGCAGAUAUCAGGAAGAACACCCGUGGCGAAGGCGGCUCUCUGGGACGGUACUGACGCUGAGGAGCGAAAGCGUGGGGAGCGAACAGG
rnacentral:rRNA from 1 species